rnacentral:rRNA from 1 species
AACGAACGCUGGCGGCAUGCCUAACACAUGCAAGUCGAACGAGACCUUCGGGUCUAGUGGCGCACGGGUGCGUAACGCGUGGGAACCUGCCCUUAGGUUCGGAAUCACUCCCCGAAAGGGGUGCUAAUACCGGCUAAUGUCUCAGGACCAAAGAUUUAUCGCCUUUGGAUGGGCCCGCGUUGGAUUAGCUAGUUGGUAGGGUAAAAGCCUACCAAGGCGACGAUCCAUAGCUGGUCUGAGAGGAUGAUCAGCCACACUGGGACUGAGACACGGCCCAGACUCCUACGGGAGGCAGCAGUGGGGAAUAUUGGACAAUGGGCGAAAGCCUGAUCCAGCAAUGCCGCGUGAGUGAUGAAGGCCUUAGGGUUGUAAAGCUCUUUUACCCGGGAUGAUAAUGACAGGACCGGGAGAAUAAGCUCCGGCUAACUCCGUG